rnacentral:rRNA from 1 species
GACGAACGCUUUCUUCUUUCUUAACACAUGCAAGUCGAACGGAAAGGCCCUGCUUUUGUGGGGUGCUCGAGUGGCGAACGGGUGAGUAACAUGUGAGUAACCUGCCCUUGACUUUGGGAUAACUUCAGGAAACUGGGGCUAAUACCGGAUAGGAGCUCCUGCUGCAUGGUGGGGGUUGGAAAGUUUCGGCGGUUGGGGAUGGACUCGCGGCUUAUCAGCUUGUUGGUGGGGUAGUGGCUUACCAAGGCUUUGACGGGUAGCCGGCCUGAGAGGGUGACCGGCCACAUUGGGACUGAGAUACGGCCCAGACUCCUACGGGAGGCAGCAGUGGGGAAUAUUGCACAAUGGGCGGAAGCCUGAUGCAGCAACGCCGCGUGCGGGAUGACGGCCUUCGGGUUGUAAACCGCUUUCGCCUGUGACGAAGCGUGAGUGACGGUAAUGGGUAAAGAAGCACCGGCUAACUACGUG